AAAAGGGGCUUCUGUCAUGAGACGUACACAGGGCAGCUUGAUGGCUCUAUGUGCAGAAUCAACAUCAAGAGAUUUCAGAAGCAUAAAUUUUUGGUACCUGGGCAGCUAGUGAUUAUUGGUCCUGGUGCCCCC